GCUGUGAACACCUAUUUGAUAUGUAAGUGGACAAAGGCUAAGUGGGAAAUGCUGCGAAUUCUGCAAUUGGAAAACAACAAAAAGUGCAACAUUUGGGACUUACUAUUUAACUUAUUUGGCUUAAGGAAUAAACGUGAUGUAUUGGCUCAUAGAACUGAGGAGCUGUCAGUUGUCUCACAGCUGCCUUUCUAAGAGCUUUCAGCUCUGCUUGCCUCCAGGGUUUGGCUUCAUCCUCAGGCUGGCAGCAACAUGGCUGAGGAGUUCCGGUUCUCACCACCCUGUGUGAAAACUUCCAGGGCAAAGAAGCCAGAAGAAAGCGAAGCAAAAAAUCAAGGAGCUUUCACUUCUUCCAGGUGUGCUCUCUUCAGAGAAGUUGCUAGCAAACCUCCCCUUACAUCCCAUUGGCCCAACUUGCCUGCUAUUCCUGGACCACUCCCUGUGGCAGGAAAAUUCCAUUCUGCGGCUGGCUUACCAGCCACUGGCUGCAGAAGGGAACCCACCCAAUCUCUCUGAUCCGGAGAUGCCCUCCCUUGCCCUUGUAAUCACCUGUUGAUAUGGAGAUGGACUACUUCUCUCCACCCCUUGGAAACACCUACUGAUAUGGAGAUACACUAAGGGCAGCAAAGCCCUGCAGAGCAGGCUGGAAUCUGUGUCUGGAUCCCCCCUUCUGUUCUGUUCUUUAAAAACCCUAAACCCCACUGAAGGGCCCCCACCAGUAAGAUGGCGAACUUCCAGCUUCUCUUCCGGGUCCUCGGUUCCUGACGGCGCC